GCUUUCGUGAUGUAAUUGGAAGCAUACUCGACUCGUAUUCGAGAGGUCCAGGUUUCGAGUCCCGACGAGGGCA
rfam:Stegodyphus mimosarum contig63942, whole genome shotgun sequence.